AAGACUAUUCUUUCAGGGGUCAUUUCUUUAGUUGCUGACUUGAGGAAUGUGUUUCUAAAGAGUUUGCUCUCGCUGCCCACGAUGUAGAGUGCAGAUGUUUCCUUCAGAGCAGGAAGCGGGUGGGAAGACUUGUUUUUUUUUCCACUGUUGAAGACUGUUCAGAGUUUCUGGGUGGGAAUUUGACGGAGGACAUGUGGUCUGAGUGGG